CAAAUGCGAUAAGCAAUGCGAAUUGCAGAAUUCCGCGAGUCAUCAGAUCUUUGAACGCAAGUGGCGCUGGGAUAACCAAUACCCCAGCAUGUUUGUUUCAGUGUAUUAGGAAUCAUAAAGCUUAAUGCGGUUGAAGGUGCCUUAAAAACACUUUCUCCCGUUGAAUGCGAAAGCGCUGAAUCGUUCGGUGCCGACUGAAGUAGUCACUUCUCGCAAGUGAUCUCGGUUGGCUAAGCCGGAGAUUCACUACAGCGCUUUUUAAAUUAUAAUUUCUCCAUUCAAUAAGACUUAAUGUCACCUGAAAUCAAGCAAGAUCACCCACUGAACUUAA
rnacentral:misc_RNA from 1 species